GAGUGCGAUCAUACCAGCACUAAAGCACCGGAUCCCAUUAGAACUUCGAUGUUAAGUGUGCUUGGGCGAGAGUAGUACUAGGUUGGGUCACCCCCUAGGAAGACCUCAUGUUGCAUGCC
rnacentral:rRNA from 15 species